CCGUCAAUUCAUUUGAGUUUCAACCUUGCGGCCGUACUCCCCAGGUGGGAUACUUAUUGUGUUAACUGCGGCACAGAGGGGGUCGAUACCCCCUACACCUAGUAUCCAUCGUUUACAGCGUGGACUACCAGGGUAUCUAAUCCUGUUUGCUCCCCACGCUUUCGCGCCUCAGCGUCAGUUAUCGUCCAGAAAGUCGCCUUCGCCACUGGUGUUCCUCCUAAUCUCUACGCAUUUCACCGCUACACUAGGAAUUCCACUUUCCUCUCCGACACUCAAGAAAUACAGUUUCAGAUGCAGCCCCGAGGUUAAGCCUCGGUAUUUCACAUCUGACUUGCAUCCCCGCCUACGUGCCCUUUACACCCAGUAAUUCCGGACAACGCUCGCCACCUACGUAUUACCGCGGCUGCUGGCACGUAGUUAGCCGUGGCUUGUUUUUGAGGUACCGUCACUUCCUUCGUCCCUCAUCAAAGAAGUUUACGAUCCGAAGACCUUCUUCCUUCACGCGGCGUCGCUGCGUCAGGGUUUCCCCCAUUGCGCAAUAUUCCCCACUGCUGCCUCCCGUAGGAGUCUGGGCCGUGUCUCAGUCCCAAUGUGGCCGAUCAACCUCUCAGUUCGGCUACCGAUCGUCGCCUUGGUGAGCCGUUACCUCACCAACUAGCUAAUCGGACGCGGGCCCAUCUCUCACCGGAUGUUACUCCUUUGAUACCAAAGGGAUGCCCCCUCAGUAUAUUAUGCGGUAUUAGCACAGGUUUCCCUGUGUUAUCCCCCAGUAAGAGGCAGGUUGCCCACGCGUUACUCACCCGUCCGCCGCUAUCCGGCGUCCAACAUUCAGUACUCAGCUCUCCUGUGUUGGCUCUUAUAUUAGCAUCAAGCAAAAACUCUCAAUCCGUAUCAUUAGGAUGCUUUUGCUUCACGCUUGCUUUUCCGCCAACUCCGUCACUGAAUACUCAAUGUCAGACGCCCGGACCGCUCGACUUGCAUGUGUUAAGGCACGCCGCCAGCGUUCGUCCUGAGCCAUGAUCAAA
rnacentral:rRNA from 1 species